rnacentral:rRNA from 1 species
GCAGUAGCCGCGGUAAUACGUAUGUCACGAGCGUUAUCCGGAUUUAUUGGGCGUAAAGCGCGUCUAGGUGGUUAUAUAAGUCUGAUGUGAAAAUGCAGGGCUCAACUCUGUAUUGCGUUGGAAACUGUAUAACUAGAGUACUGGAGAGGUAGGCGGAACUACAAGUGUAGAGGUGAAAUUCGUAGAUAUUUGUAGGAAUGCCGAUGGGGAAGCCAGCUUACUGGACAAAUACUGACGCUGAAGCGCGAAAGCGUGGGUAGCAAACAGGAUUAGAUACCCCGGUAGUCCCUGUCUCUUAUACA